rnacentral:misc_RNA from 1 species
GUGUGGGGCCCCAGUGACAGACCUCAUGUUCCUGUUCUUCCUCUCGCUCGUGAUCACCAUGGGACUCACACAACAGACGGUUGUUGAAUCAUAACAAACUAACGAGGUUGUUGAGAUUCGGUAUCACCCGGUGUAUAAAUGUGAACCCCGAUGACCCUCCCCGCCAAACAUCUAAGAGCAACCGAGAAUGAAACCGAGAGCACCGUCGUCGAAGAAAGCAGAGAGUGGAGGAAGGAAGAGAGUCCAUCGCGAGAGGGAACUCUGGUUCAUCGUCGUCGCGUCCGCGGGGUUGGUCCGGGGAGCUUCACCGAAGUGUCUGCGACUCAGGCGUGGCGGUGUUAGGCUCGGGGAGUCCUUGGAGCGUGACAAAUUGCUCACUGGAACCACGAAGCCGUCGCACGACGUGGAGAGCUCCAUUGCCGCCAUAAUUACUAGACAUUACCAGGUACCACCGGAGAAAGAUUGCUAUGAUGAGUUUGGAGAGGUCUAGGUCGUCGUCUCCCAGUCAACUAUGAUGGUGGAGGAUCUUGUCACCAAAUGGUUUAUUUUAUUUAGUUAUUUAGUACAAAGAAUUUUACAUAUGUAAUAAAGGUUAUGACAUUGAUUUAUGUACAUUGAGUCAUCAUAUGUGUGAGACUUGAUCCUAGCACACAUGUAAGUUGCACUUGGAUUUAUCCUUAAAUUCGGGUGUGACAUAUA